rnacentral:rRNA from 1 species
AGAGUUUGAUCCUGGCUCAGAUUGAACGCUGGCGGCAUGCUUUACACAUGCAAGUCGAACGGCAGCGCGGGCUUCGGCCUGGCGGCGAGUGGCGAACGGGUGAGUAAUAUAUCGGAACGUACCCAGAAGUGGGGGAUAACGUAGCGAAAGUUACGCUAAUACCGCAUACGAUCUACGGAUGAAAGUAGGGGACCGCAAGGCCUUAUGCUUUUGGAGCGGCCGAUAUCUGAUUAGCUAGUUGGUGAGGUAAAGGCUCACCAAGGCGACGAUCAGUAGCUGGUCUGAGAGGACGACCAGCCACACUGGAACUGAGACACGGUCCAGACUCCUACGGGAGGCAGCAGUGGGGAAUUUUGGACAAUGGGGGCAACCCUGAUCCAGCAAUGCCGCGUGAGUGAAGAAGGCCUUCGGGUUGUAAAGCUCUUUUGUCAGGGAAGAAACGGUCGUGGCUAAUAUCCAUGGCUAAUGACGGUACCUGAAGAAUAAGCACCGGCUAACUACGUGCCAGCAGCCGCGGUA